rnacentral:lncRNA from 1 species
UUUCUACCAAAAUUUCUACCCAUUCCCAUUUUCCCCAAAUUAAGAACCCUAGAAAUUCUUUUCUGCCAAAUUUUCUGCCUCCUCGCUGUUAUUCCCCUCCGGUUCCGACGACAACUAGCAGUCUCACGCUCAUGCUAUCGCUCUUAAGGCCAAAGUUUAUCGCCUCUUCACCAAGUCUUAAGCGCCAGAAAAUGUACUCUUUCUGUUAUUUUUGUCUGUUUGUUUGCUAAGAAAAGUUAUAGGAAAAGGAAAUCAAAUGCUGUUAUAAUCUUAUUUACCAUAUUUGUUCUUUCUCUUUCUGUUACUGUUGUCUGUUUGUUUGCUAAGAAUACUUGUGGGAACUAGGAAAGAGAAAAUCAAAUGCUGUUAUGAUCUGAUUUAGUUAUAUAGAUUUAAUAAUUUAAUUUCAUUACUAGAUUUUCAAACAAUGAGUUUUAGGAUUUGUUCAUCAAAUAAAUAUUAACAAAUAUAUUCUUUAUUUAAGCUGUAAAGCCGACUUGCUUAUCUACACCCCAUGUAGCUUGAGCUUUUCUACCACUCAAUUAAAGCUUUGGCAAUGACUAUUCCUAUGGUGUUUGAUAUUUUGUUUCCACUGACUUUAAUCCAUGAUUCAGAGGCUUUGUUUGACAGAAUAUUAGCUACGUGGGUUUAACAGGUUUCCAAUUAAUAAUUUAUUUAACCUUGUUUGGAACUUUAUGAAUUAUCAAACUUGUUAUUUAUUGAAUUUGAAUUUGAUGUAAUGAAGCAGUCAUGGAUUGAACUAUAGAAUAAAUGUCAAGUGAAAUUAAUAAGGGCUUUAAAUAAUAAUAAUUAUUAUAUGGUAGAUAGAUUUCAAUGUAGAAUGGCAACUUUUUUUUGUUGUUUGGUAUAGGCUACUAUGUUCAUUUAAAGCUUUGUCAUUUUGAAUCCUUUGUUGGCUUGAUAGUUAGGGUGUUCACUUCCUUAGGUGUAGCUUGAGUUCAAGUCACGUUAAUUGCGUUGUUGUUAGGGUUUUAUCCUCUUUUUGUAAUUCACAAAAAAAAGAGCUUGUCAUUUUUGGUAAACUAUAGUGUUGAACCUAAACAUUUGAGCUAACUAAUGGUGUUAUCCAGGGAUUUAAAUAGCGGUCCGAUAUCGGAAUAGCGGCCACUAUAUAGCGGUAGCAGUGUCGUCCGAAACUACUACUACUGAAAAUAGCAAUGUGAAGCAGAGUGACAUUGAUAGCGGUGGAUCGCGGCCGCAAUUUAAUGGGUAAUGGCCAAUUGCAGCAAUAACGGGCCACUAUUCCCGUUAUUUUUCGUUACAGUAAAUUAAAAAAAAAUCCAUCUCCUCUAAACAAAAAUCAACAGAAACACAAUAAAACAAAAGAGAAUAUAUUUCCCUUCUUGCAAAAUCAGAGAGUUUUCAAUUUUAAAAGUAAAAAGAAGUCCAAAUAAACAGAAAAAAACAAUCAAAACUCAAAAGCAAUAGAAAAUAUGAAAUUCUAUUUCUCAUAUUUCAAUUUAGACCCUAAACUCCAAACCAAACGGCAAACAAAGCAAACCUUGAUCACUUGCACAUUUAGAGGUUGAUAGUUUUCAAAUAAGUACCUGAAAGUUUGUCUUGAUUCUUGCUUGUUUUUGCCGUAAAAUGCAAAUAUUGUUAUAAGUUACAAACGAGUCUUGAAUCAGCAGUGCAAAUAUGUUCUUUAGACUUCAGGUUAGGGAUGAAGGGAGAAGGCACAACCAGUAUAUUCCAAGAAUUUGAUAUGCAAAGUAGAGGAUAUUAGUUUUCAGAGGAUGAUAGAGUUUAGGCCUCUUUAGUUUUUCUUUCUAAGUUUUGUGUGUUUAGAGAUUUAAGAACAAAGACGUUUCUACUGUUUCAUUUCCUUUUUUCUUUAUUUUUUCAUUUUUAUUUUCCUUUACACUUAGGUAAAACCGAGGCACCGUCUCUAGGCUACCAGUGUUCUCUUGACAGGUAGUAGGAUAGCUGUUAGGAUCAAUUUGUUGAUUAGUGUACUGAUUACUAAAUAUCCUCUUUUAAUGCAUUCAGAUUUUUAUUUCAAAAAAAAUCACUAAAAAAUUAGAGAUUAAUAAGUUAGAAUUGUUUGGAGAGAUUUUACUGAAAAUGAAAAUUACUUUGAUGACAAUCAUAUUAUUAUAUUUUUUUAAUAUGAAAGCUUGAUGAUAAUCAUAUUAUUAUAUUUUUUAAUAUGAAAGCUUAUUAGAUUUGUAAUUUUACUUUAUAUGUUAUUUUUUAAUUAAUAUUAUAAUUAUAGUUUAUAAUGAUAAUGAUAAUUAUUUAUUAUUAUUAUUUUAAAAUUUCAUAACUUUCAUUACUCAAGGUUUGUUUAGGGUUACACACAAAAUUAAUAAAAAAUUAUAACCUCUGUUGUUUGGGUUUGCUUAAGGUUACACAUAAAAUUAACGAAAAAAUUAUAGCCUCCAUCACUUAUGACUUGUAUUAUGAAAGGUAAAAAAUCAAGACAAAUUAAUUCAUUGUGUUUUUCUUCAUCAAAUCCGAUAGAUGACUUCAAUUCAACAUUAGAUAAAUCCCUAUUGAUUUUAGUUUGCAUAAUAUGAAAAACUUGAAUUUUAAAUUUGAUCCAAUUUGAAUUUAAAUUUUAUUAAGAUGGAACAAAACAAACUAUUUAUACCAAAAACUUUGGAACCAAGUAAUAAUGGGUUAUGGUGUAUUGUUGUUUUUAAAAAAAUAAAUAAAUUAUAUAUGGAUUAUGUAACAAAUUUAAAUUUUCCAUGUUAAUGAUGGUUAUUUUUUUUUGUAUUAUAUUGUUAAUAAUAUAAGUAAUGAGUUGUUUAUAUUUCUAAAUAUAAUUUUAUGUUUCUUAUAUAUAAAUAAAAAAAAGCAUGCCACCACGUGAAUAG